rnacentral:rRNA from 1 species
CGCGGUGAAUACGUUCCCGGACCUUGUACACACCGCCCGCCAAGCCAUGGAAGCUGGGUGUACCUAAAGUCGGUAACCGCAAGGAGCCGCCUAGGGUAAAACUAGUAACUGGGGCU